rnacentral:rRNA from 1 species
UGCAGUCGAGCGACAGAUAAGGAGCUUGCUCCUUUGACGUUAGCGGCGGACGGGUGAGUAACACGUGGGUAACCUACCUAUAAGACUGGGAUAACUUCGGGAAACCGGAGCUAAUACCGGAUAACAUUUGGAACCGCAUGGUUCUAAAGUGAAAGAUGGUUUUGCUAUCACUUAUAGAUGGACCCGCGCCGUAUUAGCUAGUUGGUAAGGUAACGGCUUACCAAGGCGACGAUACGUAGCCGACCUGAGAGGGUGAUCGGCCACACUGGAACUGAGACACGGUCCAGACUCCUACGGGAGGCAGCAGUAGGGAAUCUUCCGCAAUGGGCGAAAGCCUGACGGAGCAACGCCGCGUGAGUGAUGAAGGGUUUCGGCUCGUAAAACUCUGUUAUUAGGGAAGAACAAACGUGUAAGUAACUGUGCACGUCUUGACGGUACCUAAUCAGAAAGCCACGGCUAACUACGUGCCAGCAGCCGCGGUAAUACGUAGGUGGCAAGCGUUAUCCGGAAUUAUUGGGCGUAAAGCGCGCGUAGGCGGUUUCUUAAGUCUGAUGUGAAAGCCCACGGCUCAACCGUGGAGGGUCAUUGGAAACUGGGAAACUUGAGUGCAGAAGAGGAAAGUGGAAUUCCAUGUGUAGCGGUGAAAUGCGCAGAGAUAUGGAGGAACACCAGUGGCGAAGGCGACUUUCUGGUCUGUAACUGACGCUGAUGUGCGAAAGCGUGGGGAUCAAACAGGAUUAGAUACCCUGGUAGUCCACGCCGUAAACGAUGAGUGCUAAGUGUUAGGGGGUUUCCGCCCCUUAGUGCUGCAGCUAACGCAUUAAGCACUCCGCCUGGGGAGUACGACCGCAAGGUUGAAACUCAAAGGAAUUGACGGGGACCCGCACAAGCGGUGGAGCAUGUGGUUUAAUUCGAAGCAACGCGAAGAACCUUACCAAAUCUUGACAUCCUUUGAAAACUCUAGAGAUAGAGCCUUCCCCUUCGGGGGACAAAGUGACAGGUGGUGCAUGGUUGUCGUCAGCUCGUGUCGKGAGAUGUUGGGUUAAGUCCCGCAACGAGCGCAACCCUUAAGCUUAGUUGCCAUCAUUAAGUUGGGCACUCUAGGUUGACUGCCGGUGACAAACCGGAGGAAGGUGGGGAUGACGUCAAAUCAUCAUGCCCCUUAUGAUUUGGGCUACACACGUGCUACAAUGGACAAUACAAAGGGCAGCUAAACCGCGAGGUCAUGCAAAUCCCAUAAAGUUGUUCUCAGUUCGGAUUGUAGUCUGCAACUCGACUACAUGAAGCUGGAAUCGCUAGUAAUCGUAGAUCAGCAUGCUACGGUGAAUACGUUCCCGGGUCUUGUACACACCGCCCGUCACACCACGAGAGUUUGUAACACCCGAAGCCGGUGGAGUAACCAUUUAUGGAGCUAGCCGUCGAAGGUU